rnacentral:rRNA from 1 species
UACGCCCACAUCACGUUGAAACGCCGGUUCCUGUACGAUCACCGAAGUUAAGCAACGUUGAGCCUGGUCAGUACUUAGAUGGGUGACCGCUUGGGAAUAUCGGGCGCUGUAAG